rnacentral:lncRNA from 1 species
GCUGUGUUGACUGGCACUAAUGACAUUCCUUAUAGCCCUCUUGCCCUGGUUUGCCGAGCCUUCUGUUGAAGGACAGAAUGGGACUACUUUGACUUUCUCUUGGAGGGAGAAGGACAUCUCUGGAAAAUACUACCUGUAACCAGGGAUAACUGCAGGAAGCUUUUCUAAGCUGGAGGACAGAAGAGGACCCAGCACCUCGCCUAGACGUUAAUGGGCAAGUAAUGGCCAUGUACUGUCUGAAAGAGAGAGCAGCCCACCAAAUGCAAUGAGCAGGAAAGCGCUCCCUGGUCCCUCCAUACCAGAAGACGACACCAGCUGGACCUCAGUUUCGCUGCCACUGGCAGAGGGGAGCUGUGCUGCGUGUGUUGGGACCUGCUGUUUUCUUUUCUGCAAUGACCCCACCGUUGAUCUUGG